rnacentral:rRNA from 1 species
GACGAACGCUGGCGGCGUGCUUAACACAUGCAAGUCGAGCGGAGCGGCGAACGGGUGAGGAACGCGUGAGUAACUGCCCCCCUCUCAGGGAUAACAGUUGGAAACGGCUGCUAAGACCCGAUAGUGGGGGAUGAAUCGCGGCCUAUCAGCUUGUUGGUGGGGUAGAGGCCUACCAAGGCGACGACGGGUAGACGGCCUGAGAGGGCGACCGGCCACAUUGGGCUGAGAUACGGCCCACACUCCUACGGGAGGCAGCAGUGAGGGAUAUUGCACAAUGGGGGAAACCCUGAUGCAGCAACGCGCGUGCGGGAUGACGGCCUUCGGGUUGUAAACCGCUUUCAGCCAUGACGCGGUAGUGGCAGAAGAAGCACCGGCUAACUACGUGCCAGCAGCCGCGGUAAUUC